GUGUGCAUGCAUUUUCCCUUACUGUGUUUAAACUUAAAGAUGGAGACCUGCCCAUCCCCAAGUAAACAAGGCAUAGGCAUCUUUUGUUUUCAUUGUUUCACUCUUAUGAGAAGAGGCAGCAGUACAACAAACAGGUAGAGUUGGUAUCUGCAUUUCAUUCCUCUGUUUGAUUAGGCGGGUGUGGGAGAGAAAAGAUAGAGCAGUUUAUGUACAUAGAGGUGUCCCUUGUAUCCUCCAGAGAGAUCUCGAUGACACUUACAUGGAUUUACUCAACAGUUAUCCCCCAUAGGUUUCUAGUGGUGGCUGACUUUUUUUUUUUUUUUUUUUUUUUUUUUUUUUUUUUUUUUAUUCCUCCGUGGUAGGACACUUACCACACACCUCCAUAAGGAGGAGUUCUGGCACAGUUGCAAUAAACAGGCUAGCAGCAUAUGAACCCAGGUGGCUUUGGGAUGCUAGCAGCAGCUAUGCUCUCUCUGCCUUUGUUACUCUCAGAAGUGAGAUGAUCUAAAAUCACCACCGCCUGUUGAAAAUAGUGCCAAUCUUUAGCACUGUUGUCUCACUGUUUGACUGAUGGAAAAAGGGAUUCAAAUUUUGUUUCAUGCAACCAAAAAUCUUAGUGCCUGCCUCCCCACAUCCCUCAUUUGCCCCUGCUGAGCCAUACGCACCCUGGCUGAGACUGGAUAGCAGUCCUGUGUGGAGGUACUCCAAAGCUAAAGUGUCAAUAACCAUCUCUUAAAAAAAUGUAUGGGAAUAAGGGCAGGGGAUUUUGAAACUUGUAUCUUUCCCUUUCUGUUGUAACUAAAUCCAAUGAUACAUAUGUGUUUCAUCUGUAGCUGUUGCCAUUGUGGUCUCCACCACACCACUGGAACCCUGAGGAGAAGAAGGAAGAGGGCUAGUGAGAUCCUGCAAGCCACUCAUGAAUCAGACUGCAAACAAAAGGCCUGUGUGGCCAACGUGGCAGACAGCAUGGAGAUGGACAGAGAGGACAGGAGAAAAUGGAGAAAGAUUCAGGAAUCCCUGCAGGAAAAGGAGAGAGCUUCUCAGGCAGCGCAAACAAAUGGUGCAGACUGGUUGACCUACAAGUCCAGUAAUCACCAACUCCUCACCCUUUGCAGUCCCUGGAGAACUCCAUGGUGGCAGCUUCCCAUGCGCCCCAAUAUUCCACCUGGCUUCCUGGGCCCUAUCCCUACUGCUCCAUGCUGGUGGAUAGUAAGGAAAACUACAGCUUCACAUAACUGUCCUGUGAGAGCCACAGUUGCUUUAUGUGCAGCCAGAAUAGACUGCACCUGUGCACUGAAAUGGACAGAAAUGUUUGCUGCCUUUCUAAUUUUAAAAUUCUGUUUUCUUAAUAUAUGUAAGAAGUUUGUAUUGUAUUGGUCCUUUGUUAUAUGCACAUUGGUUGUUUUGCACUGUCACUCAAUACAUUUCUCUCUGUAUAUACAUUUUAAAA